CCCGAGGGAGGAGGGAAAGAGGGAGGGAUGGAUGGAAGAAGUAGGUCUGGGCAGGGAAGGGACGUGGGAAAUUGGGCGGCUCUGCCCAGCGAGCCGCUGUUAUUGUAUAAUGCUGUUGUGCAAAGCGAAGAGGAGGUGUGUGGAGUUUCGAGCUCCCCCAGGCAGGACGGGUGGAGCAGCGGGGCCUCGUGUGACCGUGGCGGGUGUCGGGGGGAAGGGGCUGGGCCCCUUCUCCUUCCACAGGGCUCCCUCCCAGAGCGGCUUUAGGAGGUCACUCGUUACGGUGAGGCUACCUGCUAACAGGAUCUUGUUUGUGAUCCAUGGGGCACUAUUGAACAUGGAGGCAGUUGCUUCUGAAUGAAAACUUGCUGAAACUGGAAACAGCAUCUGCUGGAUCAUGUGGGAUCCGGGGCCCAGAGCCUUGUUUCUGCUUUUGUGUAAAAUUUGAUACAAAAAUUCUUCUCAGCUUUGGAGACAUUCUGCCAGCUGCAAAUCCUAUUGUCGUCUAUUUUCAGACUUGUACAAUACAUGAACAGUAAGGGAUCCUGAGUUGUGGCUGUCACUUUGUAAUAGCAGAUAAAGAAAAUGUUCUAUCAGAUGUCUUUGAAAAUGUAAUUUUUGUUUGGUCUCAGAAUGUGCAUGUGGAAACACUGGCUCACCAAGGGUAAUCAUCUUAAGGGACAGCACUAGUACUUCACUUUGGAAUGAAACAGACAUUAAGUAAAGGCUGAGUUGCAGAGUUUUUGUUAAUGAGUUACAAAAACAUAGAGGCAUCAGUUCAGAUCUACAUUUUAAAGAUUCACAAUUGCAAAUAAUUUCUUUGUGAUUGGGAUUGGAGGAUUAGAAAUAGACACUUCAAAGCACCUUCUCAAAUAAUGUAAGCUUACUGAAGUUCAGCUUUUCUGCACAGAUGAAUUUUUAAGACUGCAGUUGAUAACAAGAACUUUAUAUUUAAAGGUACAGGGAAUCUAUUGUUACACACUGCAAACCACUUUCCUGUUUUAGAAGCAUGAACAGAGUUCAGGAUGAACAUUUUUGCAAAGGUUUGAGACUAUUUUUUAGCUGUUGUGGUUUUUGUUCAUUGUGCAGUCAGUGGAACAAAAUCUGCUGAGGUUGGAAAAUUUUACUGUCAUAGGUAAAGUAUGAUG